GUAGCAUUAUCAAUGUGUCAAAGUUUUUGUUUAUAUUGUCUCUGUAGCAGUGUACAUACUGUGUGUGUAAAGCAAUGUAUGACAGUCUUGUGGCAGUGUGUGUAUACUGUGUCCGAGUGUGUGUGGUAUAGUGUCAAACAGGGCCAGUGCAAGGAUUCUUGCCACCCUAGGCAACAAUCCAUUUUGCCGCCCCCUCAUGGAUGCAACUACAUUCCCUCAGAGGUUUUU